GAUGAACGCUAGCGGCAGGCCUAAUACAUGCAAGUCGAACGGUGUCUUCGGACAUAGUGGCGCACGGGUGCGUAACACGUAUGCAACCUACCUUACAUUGGGGGAUAGCCUUUCGAAAGGGAGAUUAAUACCGCAUAAGACAGUAGCUGGGCAUCCAGUAGCUGUUAAAGAUUUAUCGAUGUAAGCUGGGCAUGCGUCCAAUUAGUUAGUUGGCGAGGUAACGGCUCACCAAGACGAUGAUUGGUAGGGGAACUGAGAGGUCAAUCCCCCACACUGGCACUGAGAUACGGGCCAGACUCCUACGGGAGGCAGCAGUAGGGAAUAUUGGGCAAUGGACGCAAGUCUGACCCAGCCAUGCCGCGUGUAGGAAGAAGGCGUUCUGCGUUGUAAACUGCUUUUAUAUAGGAAGAAACGACCCUUGCGAGGGGCAUUGACGGUAUUAUAUGAAUAAGCACCGGCUAACUCCGUGCCAGCCGCCGCUGUAACAC
rnacentral:rRNA from 1 species